GGAAGUGUGACCGAGCUGGCCGAAGGUGCACGACUGGAAAUCGUGUGUGCCCUACAAAGGCACCAAGGGUUCAAAUCCCUUCGCUUCCGCCA
rnacentral:tRNA from 1 species